ensembl:snRNA U6 U6 spliceosomal RNA
GUGCUUGCUUCCGUAGCAUAUAUACUAAAAUUGGAAUGAUACAGAGAAGAUUAGGAUGGCCCCUGUGCAAGGAUGACAUGCAAAUUCGUGAAGUGUUCCAUAUUUUU